AUUGAACGCUGGCGGCAGGCUUAACACAUGCAAGUCGAACGAUGAUUAUCUAGCUUGCUAGUUAUGAUUAGUGGCGGACGGGUGAGUAACAUUUAGGAAUCUGCCUAGUAGUGGGGGAUAGCUCGGGGAAACUCGAAUUAAUACCGCAUACGACCUACGGGUGAAAGGGGGCGCAAGCUCUUGCUAUUAGAUGAGCCUAAAUCAGAUUAGCUAGUUGGUGGGGUAAAGGCCCACCAAGGCGACGAUCUGUAACUGGUCUGAGAGGAUGAUCAGUCACACCGGAACUGAGACACGGUCCGGACUCCUACGGGAGGCAGCAGUGGGGAAUAUUGGACAAUGGGGGCAACCCUGAUCCAGCCAUGCCGCGUGUGUGAAGAAGGCCUUUUGGUUGUAAAGCACUUUAAGCAGGGAGGAGAGGCUAAUGGUUAAUACCCAUUAGAUUAGACGUUACCUGCAGAAUAAGCACCGGCUAACUCUGUGCCAGCAGCCGCGGUAAUACAGAGGGUGCGAGCGUUAAUCGGAAUUACUGGGCGUAAAGCGAGUGUAGGUGGCUCAUUAAGUCACAUGUGAAAUCCCCGGGCUUAACCUGGGAACUGCAUGUGAUACUGGUGGUGCUAGAAUAUGUGAGAGGGAAGUAGAAUUCCAGGUGUAGCGGUGAAAUGCGUAGAGAUCUGGAGGAAUACCGAUGGCGAAGGCAGCUUCCUGGCAUAAUAUUGACACUGAGAUUCGAAAGCGUGGGUAGCAAACAGGAUUAGAUACCCUGGUAGUCCACGCCGUAAACGAUGUCUACUAGCCGUUGGGGUCCUUGAGACUUUAGUGGCGCAGUUAACGCGAUAAGUAGACCGCCUGGGGAGUACGGCCGCAAGGUUAAAACUCAAAUGAAUUGACGGGGGCCCGCACAAGCGGUGGAGCAUGUGGUUUAAUUCGAUGCAACGCGAAGAACCUUACCUGGUCUUGACAUAGUGAGAAUCCUGCAGAGAUGCGGGAGUGCCUUCGGGAAUUCACAUACAGGUGCUGCAUGGCUGUCGUCAGCUCGUGUCGUGAGAUGUUGGGUUAAGUCCCGCAACGAGCGCAACCCUUUUCCUUAUUUGCCAGCGGGUUAAGCCGGGAACUUUAAGGAUACUGCCAGUGACAAACUGGAGGAAGGCGGGGACGACGUCAAGUCAUCAUGGCCCUUACGACCAGGGCUACACACGUGCUACAAUGGUAGGUACAGAGGGUUGCUACACAGCGAUGUGAUGCUAAUCUCAAAAAGCCUAUCGUAGUCCGGAUUGGAGUCUGCAACUCGACUCCAUGAAGUCGGAAUCGCUAGUAAUCGCAGAUCAGAAUGCUGCGGUGAAUACGUUCCCGGGCCU
rnacentral:rRNA from 1 species